GCAUCGAUGAAGAACGUAGCGAAAUGCGAUACCUGGUGUGAAUUGCAGAAUCCCGCGAACCAUCGAGUCUUUGAACGCAAAUUGCGCCCGAGGCCAUUCGGCCGAGGGCACGCCUGCUUGGGYGUCACGC
rnacentral:rRNA from 1 species